rnacentral:lncRNA from 10 species
CAAAGUUCCUGUGGAAGGCGAGCAGCUUGACCCAAGCUUGGUUAAAAAGCAUUUUGUUCCGCUUGAUUCAUGAGGACAAGCAGUUCAGCUGAUCUUUUGUGAGGCCAAGAAUGGGACCUGGUGUGUCUGUGUCAUCUCAUCCUAGGGGCAGUGGCAUCCUCAUGCAAGCUGGUCUACUGGUGGCUGCCCCUGUGACCUGCUUCUGAAUGGCCAGGCAGGAAAAGUCUCCCACUGUGUUGCAUUUAAAGAAAAGAAAAAGAUGAAUUAAGUAAAAAGCUCUGCAAACAACUGAGUGUAAUUAUUGGAUAUGUAUAAACUUAUGCAUAUUUUCCUUUUUUUAAUUAUACUUUAAGUUCUAGGGCACAUGUGCACAACGUGCAGGUUAGUUACAUAUGUAUACAUGUGCCAUGUUGGUGUGCUGCACCCAUUAACUCGUCAUUUAACAUUCGGUAUAUCUCCUAAUGCUAUCCCUCCCCCCUCCCCCCACCCCACAACAGGCCCUGGUAUGUGAUGUUCCCCUUCCUGUGUCCAUGUGUUCUCAUUGUUCAAUUCCC